UACGAAGGGGGCUAGCGUUACUCGGAAUUACUGGGCGUAAAGCGUGCGUAGGUGGUUGUUUAAGUCUGUUGUGAAAGCCCUGGGCUCAACCUGGGAAUUGCAGUGGAUACUGGGCGACUAGAGUGUGGUAGAGGGUAGUGGAAUUCCCGGUGUAGCAGUGAAAUGCGUAGAGAUCGGGAGGAACAUCCAUGGCGAAGGCAGCUACCUGGACCAACACUGACACUGAGGCACGAAAGCGUGGGGAGCAAACAGG
rnacentral:rRNA from 1 species